ACACAAUAGGCAUUUCCGACAAAUCAAUGGGUACUGUAACACUUGGCUAUACACGAUACAGGAAAGGGCAGAUUAGGGGGGUCAUGCUAUACCUACAGAGUCAGUAGUAUCUAAUGCAAGAAUGUCUCUCAAUGGAGAGGAGCACGUGGUUCGAUCAAUAUGGAUACAAAUAUAAUAGUUACAUUACCUGCCUUAUCAGAAGAAUGAUAGUGCGUGCAGUGUUUGAAUAAGAUGAAAGGUGCAAAAAAAUUCUAAUAAUAAUAUCAGGUGACUUCACCUACUCGCUUCUAAUGUGGCAUUUUACCAACUUAGAACACCAUUUAGAGAGAGAAUUUCUCAACACCUUUAAAUUGUUGCUUCUUGCAACAGCUAAUUGUAGAUGAGAUGAGAAGCUCUUAGAAGUAAUGCUACGGGUGAGCCAGUGAUGACAGCGUAAGCUCGCUGUUUGAGAUCAUACCAAAAACUAGCUGUGGCGCUCGAAAGUCUUCAAAAGGCAGACUUUGGAUAAAAGAGGGAGCUAAUCAGAAAGAGCCGCUAGUCCCAAAUGAGUGUGAAGCAGCUAUUUAUGUUGGAAAGCGUGCAUUCCCCUAAAGGGGAAGGCAAGAUGAGAAAAGAAGUGGGAUUAAAUGGGUGAAAGGUUAUUUGCACCAAAGUUAUUGGUCACACUUUUUAUAUUAAGGUUCCAUUUUUGUAAGGGUGGACAAAUGAUCAAUAGAUGGACCGGACAUUGGAGGUAUGCGUUUUGAUGCUUAAAGCACUUCAGUAGGAGUCGUUGUAGAUGGUUAUAAGCAGCCUAUUCAGCUAUUGGACUCUUAACAAUUGAUUAGCUAUUUAUUAACCAUCUCUAACCCCCUUUAUAAACUACUUUUAAUUAGAAAGCAUGACCAAACUAUCCUUAAAAAAUGAAAAGGCAGCCUGAACAAAGAAAGAAACAUAAAUUGGUUGUUAAAAUGUAAGAUGGGAAUGUGAGGAAAAAAUAGACAGAAUAAAACAAAACCCAAACUGCUUAAAGUAUAUCGGAAACAGCAAGCCGGGAAGAGAAGUUGGUGGGUCCGCUGGAAAGAGAGUAAAGGGAACAAUUAGAGAGGGAAAGGAGCCAUCAUGGAAGCUCAUUAGCUUUGCUGAAUUAAUGUUGGGUGAGAUCAGGCCCUCAAGUUGUAGGAUGAAAUUUUCAAAAGGAAAAUCCUUCAGCCUAAACACCGCUCCCAUUACAGUGCAAGGGAAAAUCCCAGUUACUUAACUGCAGCACAGUCUGGUGCAGUGUGUGUGUGUGGUUGUAUAUAAUGAAUGCAUACACUGUAUUAUGUUUGAAGUUAUUCAGGGAACCUUCAAAAAUCUAUUUGGUGGUGACCUACUUACUUUGAAAAGGGCUGCAUAGUACAAUAGUCCAUGCAGAUUAUGCAUGGAAACUUAAUUACAUAUCACUUGCUAUUCAGACAUAAGUAUAAGGUCAGCGUUCUCUGUUCAGCUUUUGAGAUUCCCCCCUGCAUUAAAUGGGACCAAAGUUCACAAAAAGCCUUGACAAUAUGUAUUUAUUCAUAUGUUACAUUUAAAGAUAAAUAAUUUUGAGCAAUAAAGGGAAAACAGUCUGCUCCUGACACAAAUAAAUAAGGCAAUGCACAAUAGACAUAAUACAAUUAUGCAGAACAGAUACAACAAAGUUUGCAGAGAUUUUUUUUUUAACAUAGUAAAGAGUUGUAUAGUAGAUUCCAAACCAAAAAAGAGUGCAGAUUUUUUUUUUAACAUAAAUUCCUCAGGCUGGGUUUCUUGGAGAGAUUUUUCUCCUGGCAGGAUUUUUAAUGAGAUUUGUUUUCACCUUUCAAAUGAACAAACAGAUACACAAACUGCAAAGCAUUUGUUAAGCCCUUCCAGCAACCAUACAUUGGUCUACAAUACAAUUUGACACCAAGCGAUAAAUAAUAGUGGUUUUCGGUGGCUUAGCACGCCUGCAACAGAAUGUUUUUGUUGUUUUAAUUUAAUCUUGAGUGUUCCCAAAUUAUUGGAUGAUAACUGUUCUCCUCCCCCUCCAAAUACCUUUUAUUUUGGCACUAAGUUAUAGGUCUAAAAAGGGCUCCUUCCCCUUUAACAGUCUCCCUCUGCCCAUCUAACUUUGGCCCUUUUGCAUACACCUGAAUUGUCUGCAAUUUUUGACCCUUCUUUGUCCUGAAAAAUGCAAGGUGCAGCUUUUAAGGUCUUUGGCUACCAGCACAGAACAAAUGGCUAGCUAGAUCUAAUGAACUGCUCCUGGAUGAAGCCUGCUAGCUUGGGAAAGAUCUGACAGCGAUGCUACCAUGCAUCCUAGGAAUUCAAAGAAACAGUCAUUAAGUUGGUUGCACUCAAUUUUUCUUUCUUUCAUAGAUCCACUGGUAUCUUCCCAAGGCAGCCUACUGUUUAGAGAGAGAGAGACUUUCUGGCCUUUUUAACUCAUUGCUCCAAUAACCACCGAUACGUCUACACAUUGCAUAGUCUUAACACAUUUUAGGGCCAAAUCCUGCUGCUUUUACUCACUGGAGUAAUCCCACUAAAAUCCGCGAGACUACGCAAGGGAAGGACUGGCCUUAGAAAGGGACUGUUGACCACUUUGACAGCAUUUUAAUUCAAACCUUUUUGGUUUGGUUUCUUUAUUUUAAACACUGUCUUUUCCUCAUUCCCUGUUCUACAAAUUCAACAAAACCCAGCUACAUGAACUGACUAAGCAGUUCUACUGGCUAGCAGGAGCGCUUUAAAUACCUGUCACUUUGACCCCUUAAUACAUCAUCACUGCGGUGCUGGGGCUGCACCGCCCUUCAAACUGCAUUUUGGGAAUUUCAAAGGACCAGUAGCCGGCUUUCUUGCCCAUGUGCUGCUAUGUAGAAUACAUAGUUUUGCACAACCGCCCCUCCACCUGUGUAGAAUGGAUUCUUGCUGAACAGCUGAUGCAUCAUUCUGCAGAGAGAAUAAAGCCCUGGAGAAAGUCAGGAUGGUUUAAAUGUCAGACUGCACAAUCCCAUGGAAAAGAAGCAAGGAGAGGGAGAUCUUUAUGUAUCGGCUAGAAGGGAGGGUAGGGAGCAAACCCAUCCUGGAAUGCAUGAAGACUGAGAGGCAUUUCAAAGUACACCGAGAUUUCCUCUGCCGCAUUUUGUGAAAUCACAAAGGAACAUGUUGCCUUAAAACUUCUCAUUUCUCUUCUUAGUUCAGGUCACAUGAAAGUUGAUAGUGGUAACUGACUGCAUGAUAUUUGGGUGUAUCUGAAAUGCUAGACAGCCCUCUUAAGGGACCAAGAAACUAUACAAAUGGCACAGAUCAGAUUGACAGACAGACUUGUGUAGCCAGGACCUUGUUGCAAUAAUAUUCUGAA